UGUGUGUGUGUGUGUGUCUCGGCCUCUCUCACCCAGAGGGUUUCUGCUGUAGACUCCGUGGGACUCGGCGGUGAGGGCGGGCUGCAGGACGCUGCCCAGCUGGUGAGCGAUCACUGUGUUGACAUCGGCGAAGGAGAUCUGUUGGAUGUUGAGCAGCUGACUGCAGAUCUGGUGCACCGUGUCGUUCUCGUGCACUAGGAUGGCGUCCGACAGCUUAUAGAGAUGAGCUAGUGUCAGCACGGUGUUAUAGUUCUGGACAAUCACCUGAAAGGACCGGGGGAGGAACGAGGGGUUUAAAGAAGGCAUAUUCUGAUCUUUUUCAGGUUCAUAUCAGUAUUUAGUUCCUCUCCUGGGACAUGUCUCCAUGCUUUAAUGUUCAACAAGCUCUUUAUUUUUCUCAUACUGCCUGUGCUGCAGCACCUCUUUUCACCCUCUGUCUGAAACCAGAGCCCAGUCUGCUCUGAUUGGUUCGCUGGCCGGCUCUGUUGUGAUUGAUCAACCACUUAGAGACGUCCCCUUAGCCUAUAACGUACAAUAUGUUGGUGUGAGUUUUCCAUAGUGAUGUCACCAUGUUCCGUAAACAAAUACACAUACCUCUCCGGUCCCGUACGGCCAGGUGAGGUGGUUGAGGAUGAAGGACUUUGGGUAGAUGUCUCGGAGACACUGAGUGACAUAAGUCCCGACUCCGGACCCUGUUCCCCCAGCCACACUCAUCAUGGCCAUGAGCCCAGACAGCCUGUCACAGCGCUCCACCUCUCGCCUCACCAGCUCCUCCACCACCUCAGUGUGACCCGGCCCGUGCACGCAGAACCUGGGGAGAUACAAGAAGCACAUUACAAACAAGAUGGAUUACAUGUGACACAAUUACGCUAUUACAUCAUCAGGAGACAGUAAAACGAGUAACAAGUAACCAGUAAUCUCCCAACCCUGAGUACAAGCUUUAACAUGUUCUAAACAUAUAAAGGUUUUACAGAAAGGGUUUGGGGAAUUGUCCUUACCCGUUAGCCCAGUUGUUCCCAGAUCCCUGCUUCUGGCUGAAGUGUGAGGUCUCUCCAUACCUCCACCUGCCGGAUUUUGCAGCCCUGCUGAUGCUCUGGUUGAUCACCUUGGGCUCCAUGUCGAUCAGCACCGCCCGGGCAACAAGGUCUGGUUUAAACAGGGAGACAUGACAGGUCAACAGCAGGCUCUCCGUUACCUCCAUGCAUGUUUUGGUGGAAGAAGCGCUCGCAGCUGGCGGUGCAGCGCUCCUUCCUCUGGCCGUCCUGAGCGUCGCAGCAGAGGCUGUCGAAUAGCUGCUGACCCACCUGGUUCCCGCACUGCCCGAGCUGCACCGUCACUAUGGACAUCUCUCAGCCGGGUGUGAGGAGGGGAGGCUUUCCAGGAACAACGACAGUCUUCCGGUUAAGGGUCGCGGAGGUAACAGCUCCAGCAGAGAGCCCCAAACUUUCCUUUCCCUGGCCACAUCAACCAGCUCUGACUGGGGGAUUCCAAGGCGCUCCCAGGCCAGCGAAGAGAUAUAAUCCCUCCACCUGGUCCUAGGUCUAUCCCUCGGUCUCUUCCCAGCUGGACGUAACAUUGUUUCUUUGUGAAUUUAUUGAAACCUCAAGCACUUUCUUGAGUCUCUUUGCACGUUCUGGUCGGAUGUAAACUGACAAUAAAUCUGAAUCUAACCAAAUCGUUUUGCUUUAGAGAACCAGAAUUCCUUUAGUGGGCCUACAGCAGGGAAGUUUACGGGGUUACAGCAAAAGUAGCA